rnacentral:lncRNA from 1 species
AUUUACGAGGUUCCUCUACAGUCAGUGUGACUGGAGUACGUCCUCGGGGCAGCAAAGGUGCUUUCAUUAUAAUUUAGAAUAAUAGGAGUACAAAGAUAACUCUCUCUAUUAUCUCCUCUCAUCUUCCUCUAUUCUCUCUCUUCCUCUUCCUUCCUUCCUCUCUUUCUUUCCCGUGAACUCAUCACAUUCAUCUAUCUAUUCUUCCUUUAUAUAAACAAAAGAAAACACUAUUCACUUUACAAAUUUUCCACAAAUAAAUAGUGAAAAUACUGUGCAUAAAUAGUAACAAACUAUUCAUGUGGGCCAUCCACGUAUUAUCACAACAUAUUUGGGUUAUUAAUGUUUUUUAAUAUUUUAAUAUAAGUCAGUUUGACCACCUGAGGCAGAGGCAGAGAGAAAAAGUACAAGGAAGGGAGGCAGCGUGUGCGGAAUUUCACUUCCAUCUGCCCGUAUCACAUCACAGUUGAGGUCGGUUUCUAAUUGCCACAUCCUUUCCCACUCACCGUCUUCCGUCGCCCGACACGUGUCCCCAACCAAAACUACGCCCCCGCCUGCCGUUUUGCUUCAAAACUGCGCGAAAGCUCUCCCGAACUCCUCCAAACCCAUAAAGAGGAAGAAUCGCAGAAUUUAUAGGCUCUCUCUCGCUCUCGUCAAAGGAUCAAUCUUUUAUUCGAUGCCUUAUGCUCGAAGAUAAUCUCAUUCAAUUACCAUUUUAUCCACGCU